GAUGAACGCUGGCGGCGUGCCUAAUACAUGCAAGUCGAGCGAACGGACGAGAAGCUUGCUUCUCUGAUGUUAGCGGCGGACGGGUGAGUAACACGUGGAUAACCUACCUAUAAGACUGGGAUAACUUCGGGAAACCGGAGCUAAUACCGGAUAAUAUUUUGAACCGCAUGGUUCAAAAGUAAAAGACGGUCUUGCUGUCACUUAUAGAUGGAUCCGCGCUGCAUUAGCUAGUUGGUAAGGUAACGGCUUACCAAGGCAACGAUGCAUAGCCGACCUGAGAGGGUGAUCGGCCACACUGGAACUGAGACACGGUCCAGACUCCUACGGGAGGCAGCAGUAGGGAAUCUUCCGCAAUGGGCGAAAGCCCGACGGAGCAACGCCGCGUGAGUGAUGAAGGUCUUCGGAUCGUAAAACUCUGUUAUUAGGGAAGAACAUAUGUGUAAGUAACUGUGCACAUCUUGACGGUACCUAAUCAGAAAGCCACGGCUAACUACGUGCCAGCAGCCGCGGUAAUACGUAGGUGGCAAGCGUUAUCCGGAAUUAUUGGGCGUAAAGCGCGCGUAGGCGGUUUUUUAAGUCUGAUGUGAAAGCCCACGGCUCAACCGUGGAGGGUCAUUGGAAACUGGAAAACUUGAGUGCAGAAGAGGAAAGUGGAAUUCCAUGUGUAGCGGUGAAAUGCGCAGAGAUAUGGAGGAACACCAGUGGCGAAGGCGACUUUCUGGUCUGUAACUGACGCUGAUGUGCGAAAGCGUGGGGAUCAAACAGGAUUAGAUACCCUGGUAGUCCACGCCGUAAACGAUGAGUGCUAAGUGUUAGGGGGUUUCCGCCCCUUAGUGCUGCAGCUAACGCAUUAAGCACUCCGCCUGGGGAGUACGACCGCAAGGUUGAAACUCAAAGGAAUUGACGGGGACCCGCACAAGCGGUGGAGCAUGUGGUUUAAUUCGAAGCAACGCGAAGAACCUUACCAAAUCUUGACAUCCUUUGACAACUCUAGAGAUAGAGCCUUCCCCUUCGGGGGACAAAGUGACAGGUGGUGCAUGGUUGUCGUCAGCUCGUGUCGCGAGAUGUUGGGUUAAGUCCCGCAACGAGCGCAACCCUUAAGCUUAGUUGCCAUCAUUAAGUUGGGCACUCUAAGUUGACUGCCGGUGACAAACCGGAGGAAGGUGGGGAUGACGUCAAAUCAUCAUGCCCCUUAUGAUUUGGGCUACACACGUGCUACAAUGGACAAUACAAAGGGCAGCGAAACCGCGAGGUCAAGCAAAUCCCAUAAAGUUGUUCUCAGUUCGGAUUGUAGUCUGCAACUCGACUACAUGAAGCUGGAAUCGCUAGUAAUCGUAGAUCAGCAUGCUACGGUGAAUACGUUCCCGGGUCU
rnacentral:rRNA from 1 species